UAGGGUGGGCCCUAAAUCCAACGACCGGGGGUCCUUAGAAGAGAAAGGGGAAGGAGUGGAGAAUGAGACACAGAGGGAACCACAUGAAGACGGAGGCAGAAGGGGAGUGAGUGCCACGUCUUACAGGCCCAGGAACACGCAGGGUGGCCAGCAACCACCAGAAGUUAGGGGAGAGGCGUGGAGCGAAUUUUCUCUCAAAGCUCCAGAAGGAACCAACCUUGCUGACAUCUUGAUUUCUGACUUCUGGUCUCCAGAACUGUGAGAGCAUAAAGCCAUCCAGUGUGCUGGUUUAUGACCACAGCCCUAGAAACUAACAUGGCUUCAUAUGGUGAUCGUAGGUGUUGGAAAAGGACCUCCUGGUUGAGUAAGUUUUGGGACCUGUGAUAAACUAUAGCCUUCUUUGCUGAGGAACCGCUCAGAGCGCUUUAAGAGGCUAUGGAGCUUUCGGAAUUUCCAAGGCGGGUGGGAAUCAGUAUGGAACACUCACUUCCCAAGCAUAACUAAUCAAGAAACUCUUAUGUCUUAGCUCGGGCUGCCAUAACAGAACAUCACAGACUGAGUGAACACUUCCGGAGGCUGCAAAUCCACGAUCAAGGUGUCGGCUGGGUUGGUUUCUGGCUCAACCCUGUAACCCUGUGCAAGUAUCCAAGUCCUCCACCCUCCAGGCAUGGGGGCCAGCCUUCUGGAUAGCUAGAUGCCACGGCUCUACUGUGCAUCAUCGAGAGACAUGAUGGGUCAGCCCAGGGCACUGUGGGAAGGCAGGAAGCGGCCCUGACCUGAAUGUGGAUGAGCUUAGGAGCUGAGGAAUCAUUUAUUCACUCAAUAUGUAUCGGGCGCGGCCUCCUAUGACCCGAUGUGGGGAAGGCACAAGAGAAUGAGAUGGUGUGGCACAUUCUUCUGGAACUUUCAGACACAGACAAUAAGCACGAAAAGAAACAAAAUCAUUCCAGACUGUGGACAGACGCUCAUGCCCCCUGAAAGGUGGACUCUUUGUUUGUGAUGCCCCACAACACAGCGCCUCUCAGGCUUACCUUCCUCUAGAGACUUGCCUUCUGGACAUUUUGUAUGAGUGGAGUCACAGAACAUGUGGAUUUUGUGACUGACUUCUUUCACUUUCCAAGGCUCACUCAAGCUACAGGAUGUAUCUCUACUUCAUUCCAUUAUACGCCAAAUGAUAUUCCAUUAUAUGAAUGUAUCACAUUCUAUUUUUCCAUGUGUCCAUUGAUGGACAUUUGGGUUGUUUCCACCUUUUGACUAUCCUGA